GGCCCGGUAGCUCAGUGGUUAGAGUACUUGGCAAAUAUUUGGGGGAAUGGGGCGGGCCUGGGUUCAAAUCCCGCUGUGGUCA